CCUACGGGUGGCAGCAGUGGGGAAUAUUGCACAAUGGGGGAAACCCUGAUGCAGCGACGCCGCGUGGGUGAAGAAGUAAUUCGUUAUGUAAAGCUCUAUCAGCAGGGAAGAAAAUGACGGUACCUGAGUAAUAAGCCCCGGCUAACUCCGUGCCAGCAGCCGCGGUAAUACGUAGGGGGCAAGCGUUAUCCGGAUUUACUGGGUGUAAAGGGAGCGUAGGCGGCAGAGCAAGUCUGGAGUGAAAGGCGGGGGCUAAACCCCAGGACUGCUCUUGAAACUGUACGGCUGGAGUGUAGGAGAGGUAAGUGGAAUUCUUAGUGUAGCGGUGAAAUGCGUAGAGAUCAGGAGGAAUACUAGUGGCGAAGGCGGCCUACUGGACCGUAACUGACGCUGAGGCUCGAAAGCGUGGGGAGCAAACAGGAUUAGAUACCCCGGUAGUC
rnacentral:rRNA from 1 species